AAACAGUUCUCUACACGGGCACACUGUUGUAACACUGCAAGGAUUAUUUGCUCACCUGUAAAAUGGGGCUAGAGGUAGCUUCCCUCGCGAUCUCCUAGGGUGGCUGUGGGAAGCUCAUGUGAAAAGGUUUGCAUUGCUAAUGCCAUGAAAAGUGGUGGAGGGAGGUCAAAUAAGUUUAACACACAUUGACGGAGCAGCUCUGAGUUGCAGCCCUCCUAUUCAGUUCCUGAACUUCCAAAAUAAAAGACUAAGGUUUUCAAGGCGUUCACAGCCUAGAGAAGCAUCAAAGGGUGGGGAUGAGGAUGAUGUGACUGAGUGGGCAAAGAUGGGCAGGGGCCUUGCAGUCAUCAUCGUCCAGUAAAGUGUUAAUCUUAACCUGAACAAGUCCAACCAUUGAGAGGUAGCCAAAGAAAGUAAGAGGGGCUCAGGAUCCAUCAGUGACUGGCCUGGCUUCCAAUCCCGGCUCUUUCUCUUCUUCCCCUUGGGCAGCGUCCGUUCUCUCCGCUGUAAGAAUGGAGCAAGCGGUUCUCACUGUGCAGAGUGGUGGAUCCAGAAAGAGCAUUGUAACUGUCCUCCUGUAGUUCAAGUCCUUUAUGUUACAGAGAGAGCAAUGUCUGCUGAAGGAGAGUGAUUUGCACUGUAGAGGAAGAGCGUCAGAGAGAUUUGAGGAUUACAUGUAGUAGAAGGACCUGACAGUUCUCUUGCAGGAUCUCCUUCCCAGCCUUCAGAAAUUGCCGGUCUGGGAGUUGGGGGCAAGGAGAAGAUCCUGCAACCCAGUGAUUCCAUGGAAAGCAGAAAGAAGGACAUAAAGAAACGGAUACUUGGUGACAUCUUUGACUCACUGGAUCAAACCUUGCCUGAAGCUCACAUUUCUGAAAUUUCCAGAUACAAGAACAAAUACUUCCUCUUUAUUGUUUUACUAGAUUUGAGACAAGCUUUAAGUUUCUCAGACUCUUCCUCUUCCUAACAGAUUUAUCAGAAGCUGAAAGCUCUGAUCUUGUUGGGAUGCGGAUCGUGUCAGGAGAAGGCUUACUUUGCACGCUUUUCUUAGUCUGGUUGCCUAACUCAAGAACCUCGGCAUGGCUCUGUUACUUCUCUACUCAGACAAGCAUCCCUGCAGACACUCACUAGGCUAACUCUGUCUUUAUUUUUAGAAUUAGACCUUUACGAGAAGCACAGUUUUGUCUUCAGUUUCCUCUCCCCCCACCCGGAAUGGCCUGAGCCGAAGCCAGCUCCCUCCGAGAAGUCAUUACCGCCUGACUUGCGUUUGAUAUUUAGACACCUUGGUCACAACAUCUUGCAUUCUCUCGGGAUGCUGAUUUCUAACUGCUCUUUGGCCUUUCCUGCAUUGGUCCUCCUCAGGCAGGGGAUCCCUGCUCUUCUAUAUUAGUGAGAAAACCAAGGCUCAGAGAAACUGUGGAUUUUCUAAGGAUGCUGGCUCCCCGUCCCCUGUCCACCAUGAGUCAAAGCAAUGUGAGUCCCUCACCAGAUGCAACUGCCCAGUCUUGGACUUUCCAGUGACCAGAAUCAUGAGCCAAAUAAACCUCUUUUCUUUAUGAAUUACCCAGCCUCAAGUAUUCUGUUAUAGCAAAACAAAACAGACAAAGACAGUUUACCUACUUACUUACUAACUCAGGAAAUAUUUUUGAGCAUCUAUUAUGUGGAUUACACCACAAAAGGAUGAACAAUGCAGACAUCAUCUUUGCUGUAAAAGAGCUCAUGGGCCAGCAGUCAAGAUAGAUAUUGAACAAGUGAAAGUCUGGUUAGAUGCACAACUUAAUGUCUGAUGGGAAACAUUCCCCCUAAGGCAAAAACGCCCCUAAGAUGUAUUCUGGAGAAUUGGGACCAAUUUGACCCUCAGAUGCUAAGAAACGACUUAUAUUCUUCUGCAGUACCGCCUGGUCAGAUAUCCGCUUCAAGGG
rnacentral:lncRNA from 1 species